rnacentral:rRNA from 1 species
GAUGAACGCUGGCGGCGUGCCUAAUACAUGCAAGUCGAGCGAACGGACGAGAAGCUUGCUUCUCUGAUGUUAGCGGCGGACGGGUGAGUAACACGUGGAUAACCUACCUAUAAGACUGGGAUAACUUCGGGAAACCGGAGCUAAUACCGGAUAAUAUUUUGAACCGCAUGGUUCAAAAGUGGAAGACGGUCUUGCUGUCACUUAUAGAUGGAUCCGCGCUGCAUUAGCUAGUUGGUAAGGUAACGGCUUACCAAGGCAACGAUGCAUAGCCGACCUGAGAGGGUGAUCGGCCACACUGGAACUGAGACACGGUCCAGACUCCUACGGGAGGCAGCAGUAGGGAAUCUUCCGCAAUGGGCGAAAGCCUGACGGAGCAACGCCGCGUGAGUGAUGAAGGUCUUCGGAUCGUAAAACUCUGUUAUUAGGGAAGAACAUAUGUGUAAGUAACUGUGCACAUCUUGACGGUACCUAAUCAGAAAGCCACGGCUAGCUACGUG